UACGAGGGGGGCAAAUGUUGUUCGGAAUCACUGGGCGUAAAGGGAGCGUAGGCGGGUUUCUAAGUCAGGUGUUUAAUCCCGGGGCCCAACCCCGGACAGGCACUUGAAACUGGGAAUCUUGAAUAGUGGAGAGGUCAGUGGAAUUGGGGGUGUAGCGGUGAAAUGCGCAGAUAUCAGGAGGAACACCGGUGGCGAAGGCGGGUCCCUGGGCCGAUACUGACGCUGAGGUGCGAAAGCGUGGGGAGCGAACAGG
rnacentral:rRNA from 1 species